CCUAACCCUAACCCUAACCCUAACCGUACAUACUUGUAGACGUAUAUAUAUAAUUUUCCACAAAACUCAGCCACUUUUUAUCACCUCGUGAGAAGAGUCAUGCCGUCAAACGUCUCCCACCAGCUUCGAUUCCUUACCUCUCUCCCUUCCCAUCCGUGCCAUGGAGAACGUGACCGAGACAAGAAGUGAAGAUGAAGCCGGAGCAGGGCCGGAUCUGAAAAUUUGGAGACUUGAAAUAUUUCUUAACAAUUUUAGGGGUUGGUGUUCAUGUUCUCUAAAUUUUGUGGAGUCCAGGCUAAUGUUUCGAUCCGGCUUUACCCAGAUCCGGCCCCGAGCCGGAGCCACGUCUUGACGCGACCAAUCCCCGAUCUACCUGUUUGAUGACCAUCGGAGAUGUAGCCCUUGUCACCGGGGACGUUUCCGUGUUGUGGGAGAAUGUGUCGCGUCCUUAACCAAGGAGAAGCGUAAGAUCUAGGGCAAGUUUACCUCUUUCUUGUGCACCAAGGUUCAUCAGAGAAGUAAAAGUUCGAUUGGUUUACACAGAUGGCUGUGGAAAGGUUCUACGGCUUGCAUCCAAUCAACCUCAGAGUGUGUCCUGGGAAAAGAAACUUGCAGGCUGUGGGGACGGCAAGUCUUGUCUUUGUACACCAAAUAAUCACACGAGGCCUUUUCCGGGCCCAUUGGGAUAUUACAAUCGACGCAGGUUUUGGCUAGGGAUUUCGAAACACUAUUAGGAUUUUAAAGAAAUGCACGGUUGAGAGUAUGCCAACACGCUAAUUUGAGAUCCAAGGGUUAAAAACAUGCGAGGCACAGCUUACAGUUAUACCUCUCAGCAAAACAUCGCAGUCACAAGAAGAAAGAUCUCUCUCAGAAUUGCUCGAGAAAGUCGCCGAUCGUCAUCGUGGAGCCAUGUUAAAGUUAAAGUCCAAAGUCACAUAUUAUGCGAGCGAUACAUUGUUCUUCUGGAACAUGGAUCACUUCCCAGUCCCUAGGAGUAAAGAUCUUACUAGUGUUCGUAAGAAUAUCAUAGAGGCUCUUGGUAGACUGGGCUUCGUGAAGCCUCCGUUUAUCUGUGUGGAUUGUAAGAAACUCAAUGUUGAGUACGUCCACGAUGCGUUGUUGGUCAGCACCGGAAGGAUCUUCUACGGACCCAAACUCACACAGGCUUACCACAAACUGAAGGCUGAGCCUAGGUGCAGCUGUUGCUGUAAUAGUCAAACCUUUCUCUGUGACUAGUGAGUUGAGGAGGGUUCUGUCCUGUUUGAAAGCGAGGGGUCACACCGUUCUUCUUGUAGAGCCGCCACCUUAUGUAGAGUUUGACUUUGGUGUUGAUUCUCUUAUUGACAAUGCUCGAUUUUUAGGUGAAGAAAAGCCUAUAAUGCCCCUUUUAAGUUCGGAGAAUGCAAAAGAACUUGCCGCUUGCUUUGCACGUCCGUGGACGGUGGAGUAUUUGGCAACUGAUAGUGAUGAAGAGGAUGAUGUUGAUGAAGAGGUUGAAGAGAGUAGGACCGUCAUCUUCUGGGACGCUAUUGAUUCCCCAUUCCCUAUUUCUCUCUCUCUCUGCACUUAUUGGAAGAGCUUAUAGUGAUAAUAUUACAAUCCGGGCCUAUCGUGAAGUAGAAGCGUUUGAAAAGUUUGCUCGUAUGCCGUUGGAUUCAAGGAUCAACUUUUUUCACGGAGACGAUGAAGCCUCGAGACGUAUCAGAAUGCUGAAUGACAUGUAUCUCUUGUCACGUGAAGCUCCUCUGAAGAAUAAUGUAGGAAGUUUGAUCCUAGUCUCGGAUCAUUUCUUUGAUGACCCCUACUACAUGGAGAUGUUUGAAGACAUGAAGGACAGUGGUUACUCUCUUGUCUUGGUCAUUCCAAGUGAGCACAGCAACAUCUCGGAGAGCGCUGAUAAAUGGCCAGGGUCCCUACUCUUUGAUGGAGCACGCUAUUUUGGGGGACCUGAAAGAAGGGUAUUAAAGGUCAUAUGAUAAGCUUUUGUUGCAGCUAGAUGGAAACUCUUGAUUUUGUUGCAGCAUGAUGGAAACACUUAUUGUUUCAAACACUAUGUUCCUCCUAUCUUUCCAUGAUAAACUCUUGUUUUUAUUUUGGUUGACAUGAAAGAAGGGUAUUAAAGGUCA